rnacentral:rRNA from 1 species
CGCUGGCGGCACGCCUAACACAUGCAAGUCGAACGCAGUAGCAAUACUGAGUGGCAAACGGGUGAGUAAUAUGUGGGAAUCUGCCUUUUGGUUCGGAAUAACACGGGGAAACUUGUGCUAAUACCGAAUAAGCCCUUACGGGGAAAGUUUUAAUGCCGAAAGAUGAGCCCGCACUUGAUUAGCUAGUUGGUAAGGUAAAAGCUUACCAAGGCAACGAUCAAUAGCUGUUCUUAGAGGAAGACCAGCCACAUUGGGACUGAGACACGGCCCAGACUCCUACGGGAGGCAGCAGUGGGGAAUCUUGCACAAUGGGGGAAACCCUGAUGCAGCGAUGCCGCGUGAGUGAAGAAGGCCCUUGGGUUGUAAAACUCUUUCGUCGGGGAAGAAAAUGACUGUACCCGAAUAAGAAGGUCCGGCUAACUUCGUGCCAGCAGCCGCGGUAAUACGAAGGGACCUAGCGUAGUUCGGAAUUACUGGGCUUAAAGAGCUCGUAGGUGGUUAAAAAAGUUGAUGGUGAAAUCCCAAGGCUUAACCUUGGAACUGCCAUCAAAACUUUUUAGCUAGAGUGUGAUAGAGGUAAGUGGAAUUUCUAGUGUAGAGGUGAAAUUCGUAGAUAUUAGAAAGAACAUCAAAUGCGAAGGCAACUUACUGGGUCACUACUGACACUGAGGAGCGAAAGCAUGGGUAGCGAAGAGGAUUAGAUACCCUCGUAGUCCAUGCCGUAAACGAUGUGUGCUAGACGUUGGAAAUAUAUUUUUCAGUGUCGCAGCGAAAGCAUUAAGCACACCGCCUGGGGAGUAC